GUGGAUGUGAGGUAGCUGCAGGUCUAAGUGAGCUCCAGACAGAGUUGGAAUGGGAUACAACAGGGAGGCUCCAGAGCUGGUUUGGGCAGUUCUCAUGUUUACCUGCCUUCCUCUGUGGCUCCACCCCCUUGAAUGGAGACUUCCUAUGUCAGUAGCCUCUAGGAUUACCUGUGCAGGUGAGGUGUGGAGGACACAGCAGGAGGCGGGAGAACAAACUGAAUGCGCUGUAAGUUUGAUCAGCUGAAAGCUUGUGGACUUGUGAACCUUUUUGUUUCCAGCCGUCACGCUCUGU
rnacentral:lncRNA from 1 species